GCCUAACACAUGCAAGUCGAACGCACCUUCGGGUGAGUGGCAGACGGGUGAGUAACGCGUGGGAAUCUACCCAUCCCUACGGAAUAGCUCCGGGAAACUGGAAUUAAUACCGUAUACGCCCUUCGGGGGAAAGAUUCAUCGGGGUUGGAUGAGCCCGCGUUAGAUUAGCUAGUUGGUGGGGUAAAGGCCUACCAAGGCGACGAUCUAUAGCUGGUCUGAGAGGAUGAUCAGCCACACUGGGACUGAGACACGGCCCAGACUCCUACGGGAGGCAGCAGUGGGGAAUAUUGCACAAUGGGCGCAAGCCUGAUCCAGCCAUGCCGCGUGAGUGAUGAAGGCCCUAGGGUUGUAAAGCUCUUUCAGUGGGGAAGAUUAUGACGGUACCCAUUUAAGAAGCCCCGGCUAACUUCCUGCCAGCAGCCGCGGUAAU
rnacentral:rRNA from 1 species